UCGCCUGUUUAUCAAAAACAUGUCUUCAUGAUUUUAAAAUAUGAAGUCUGGCCUGCCCACUGAAAUUUUAUUUGAAGGGCCGCGGUAUUUUGACCGUGCAAAGGUAGCAUAAUCAUUAGUCUUUUAAUUGAAGGCUAGAAUGAAUGGUUGGACGAGGUAUUGACUGUCUCAGUGUGAUUGGAGUUAGAAUUUAACUUUUAAGUCAAAAGGCUUAAAUUUAUUUAGAGGACGAGAAGACCCUAUAGAUCUUUAUAUUUGCAUAAUUAAUAUUUGUUUAGACGUUCUUUUAUUAUAAUUUUGUAAUUAUUUUGUUGGGGUGACAGGAAGAUUAAAUUAACUCUUUUUAUUUGUUUACAUUGAUUUAUGAUAAGUUGAUCCAUUAUUAGUGAUUAUAAGACUAAGUUACCUUAGGGAUAACAGCGUAAUCUUUUUUGAGAGUUCUUAUCGACAAAAAGGGUUGCGACCUCGAUGUUGGAUUAAAGGUAAUUUUGGGUGUAGAAGUUCAAACUUUGGGUCUGUUCGACCCUUAAAUCUUUACAUGAUCUGAGUUCAAACCGGAGA
rnacentral:rRNA from 1 species